AUUCAACGCUGGCGGCAGGCCUAACACAUGCAAGUCGAGCGGAUGAAGGGAGCUUGCUCCUGGCUUCAGCGGCGGACGGGUGAGUAAUGCCUAGGAAUCUGCCUGGUAGUGGGGGAUAACGUCCGGAAACGGGCGCUAAUACCGCAUACGUCCUGAGGGAGAAAGUGGGGGAUCUUCGGACCUCACGCUAUCAGAUGAGCCUAGGUCGGAUUAGCUAGUUGGUGGGGUAAAGGCCUACCAAGGCGACGAUCCGUAACUGGUCUGAGAGGAUGAUCAGUCACACUGGAACUGAGACACGGUCCAGACUCCUACGGGAGGCAGCAGUGGGGAAUAUUGGACAAUGGGCGAAAGCCUGAUCCAGCCAUGCCGCGUGUGUGAAGAAGGUCUUCGGAUUGUAAAGCACUUUAAGUUGGGAGGAAGGGCAGUAAGUUAAUACCUUGCUGUUUUGACGUUACCAACAGAAUAAGCACCGGCUAACUUCGUG
rnacentral:rRNA from 1 species